CCCUCUCAGAGGAGGGCAGAGAGCUGCGUUUUUAGGGCUAAAGCUUUGUGAUUUUAGCCCUGGACCCUGGGACUGGAUGCCUUACCUGCCUUUAGAAAGAAGGCAGCUGUGUUCCUGCUCUCGGGGUUUUUUAUUAAAAGGAAGAAGCCUGGAAACGUGCCCUAAGCUGAAAGUUUGAAGAGGAGCACAGAGUGUCCCCGAAUCAGAGACCUUCCCCGGGGAGCGAGGGACAGCCCAUGGCACCGCGUCCGAGGGCAGCACGUUUGUGUGAGCAGGAGCUGCGGCAGUGGACCCCAGCGAACCCUUUGGAUGGGGGCAGGAUGCCACAAGCUCAGCUCCCACGUGCAGGGAGGUGACGUCUGGGCUGGUGAUGGGGCCAUCCCCCUCUGGGCUCCGUGGCUCUUGCUAGUACCAAACACGUGGGGCCUUGGCUGCAAGGGGGUCCUUUUGUGACAACUCGGGUCUCCUGGGUCAGCAAUCACAUCAACGGCUGCGGGGAGGGACUGGCAGCCUCUGGCCAUGGGCAGACCUGGGCCAGAGGACGUGGGUCUCCCCAAAACCCCAUCCAUCCCUGUCCUCGGGCACCAGCCCCAGUGUCCAACUGUGAAGGGACAUAAGCCAAUGAACCUGCUCAGCCCAGCAGGCUCGUUAUCACCCCGGCUUUAUUGCACCUCCAGGCCCGGUCACCCUCUCCCCUCAGUCACGUCUCGCUCUCCGCAGCAUAUUAAAUCCCCGAGGGCUGCCUGGGCAAAAUUGCCGCUGCUCCAUUACUCUGCUGUCAGCAUCCGCCACCCUCGUGAGAAUCAGGCUCCACAUCAGAAAAUAAUAAAGGCGAUGUUAUGAGCAGAGGGGAGAGGAGAUUAAAAACCUGUUUAAAGAGCCUGCCAGUCCCUGGGCUGUUUAUUGCACGUUGUGGCUUUGCGUUAUUUUUGUUGUCACCGAAGUUGGACUUUUAAUUUUCCCCUGAUCGUGAAGUGACUACCUUGUAAUUUCCCUAUGGCUCUGGGGAUUAAAAAAUGUUGUUUAAAGUACCUGUUGCCCCCCAGGUUCAGCUGGGGAUGCUUUCACUGCAUGUUGAGGGCUAAUUAAAUCCUUUAUUCCCCCAGAGAUGACAAGCACUGGGCCCGACCCUGGGGCUGAGCAGCUCGGGGGGCGCUUUGUGCACCAGCACCGGGCCGGCUCUGCGCUCCCUGGGACCUGGCCAUGAUACAUGUGUUUAUCCAAGACCUUUUUUUCUUACAUGUGAUUUACUUUCCAGGGCGUUUUGGUCAAUUUUCACCCUU